UGCUAAGGCCGAUGGCGACCGGCGCACGGGUGAGUAACACGUAUCCAACCUGCCGUCUACUCUUGGACAGCCUUCUGAAAGGAAGAUUAAUACAAGAUGGCAUCAUGAGUCCGCAUGUUCACAUGAUUAAAGGUAUUCCGGUAGACGAUGGGGAUGCGUUCCAUUAGAUAGUAGGCGGGGUAACGGCCCACCUAGUCUUCGAUGGAUAGGGGUUCUGAGAGGAAGGUCCCCCACAUUGGAACUGAGACACGGUCCAAACUCCUACGGGAGGCAGCAGUGAGGAAUAUUGGUCAAUGGGCGAGAGCCUGAACCAGCCAAGUAGCGUGAAGGAUGACUGCCCUAUGGGUUGUAAACUUCUUUUAUAAAGGAAUAAAGUCGGGUAUGCAUACCCGUUUGCAUGUACUUUAUGAAUAAGGAUCGGCUAACUCCGUGCCAGCAGCCGCGGUAAUACGGAGGAUUCGAGCGUUAUCCGGAUUUAUUGGGUUUAAAGGGAGCGUAGAUGGAUGUUUAAGUCAGUUGUGAAAGUUUGCGGCUCAACCGUAAAAUUGCAGUUGAUAC
rnacentral:rRNA from 1 species